CUGUGUAGAGAGGUUUCAUGUCUUCAUCUAUAUAGUCACUUAUUUGUCUUAAAGUUCUCGAAAUUCCCUCUUAGAGAAGGAGAAAGUUAGAGAACUGGAGGCUGCGUACCCUGAUUACGCAGAAGGGAAGCAGCCUCGCAUUCCCCGGGGCAGGCCCCCGCCCGCGCGUCCCGCCAGUAGGGGAAUUUAGCGGACGGCUGCGGUUGUCUGGUGAAAGGCUAUCCAAGGAUAAGGGGCUUCACUUUUCCCAAGUAGGGGAAAGAGAAGGGGUCUACAGGGCUAGGGGUGGAGGGAGCGGAUGCAGUGAGCAGCCUCCGCAGAGAAAUUGACAAUUUAACCAGGGACCUGCGGCAGAGACAAGGCGGAGACACUCCCUUGCCCAGGAAAGCCGCCAGAGUCCGGCUUGUACCUGGGGAAGAAUCCUUAAGACGGUCUGGCCCAACACUCCUUUGCUCACAGAGAAAGGGGAGAAGACUCCCGAGGGUGAAAAUGGUACAUUCGGAGCUGGAACUCAGCUCGCUGACCCCAAGCAGUGUUCCCUUCUUUUCGCCAGGUUUGCAUCCAAGAGAGGGGAGGACAGGGGCAAAAGGAUGCAGGGAGGCUGCUGAUUUCCACUGAAGAGCUAAUUUCCUGUGAGACAUUAACAGUGAUUUAAGAAAAAGAUUCCUGUAACUGUAAUGUCUUACAAUAACAGAAUGCAGGAGAGCACAUAUCAAUGAAGAAAAGACAAAAUGUACUUAUCCAUGAAGCUGAGGUUAAGAAACCAGUGUCUUCAAGAGCCAGGGACAGCACUGGGUCUGUGCAGAGUUGAGAGAUGGUGAUGACAUGUGGUUUCCAGCAUUCCUCACCCAGUCCAGGGACACUGUGGGUGUGCCCAGCUUAAGUCCAGUAACUGGAAAUACAAGCCCAAGUUCUGGAGAGUUUGAGCUGCAGAGAUAUAUAUGGGAACACUUUGAAUCUUGACUCAUUGGCCAUAACCAGCAGAGUGGAAAAUACAAGAAGAGAAAAAAACAUUGAACUGCGAUUUUAUAACAUCCUUUACUAGGCAGAGAGAAGAGGAAACACCAGGAAAGAAAACUGUAUUACGAUGUGAAAACUUAAUGUUGAGAAAUUCAGGCAUCUUGGGGUUAGUGAGGAGAAGUUUUAGGGGCUUAGAUUCUUCUAAACACAUGUACAGAAAUGCAUAUUUCAUCUGAUAUCAAAUGGCAUUUAUAGUGCUAAUCUUUACCUCAAGACUUCACAUCUUUUGGUGAUUGCAUCUUUUAGGUUUAUAGCAGCUAAGUUUGCAUGAAAACACCAGGGCUGUUUCAUUUCAGUCAAGAAUUAAUGUUCAUUGAUUGUGCUUCUGCAUUUCAUGUAACUAUUGUAGAAUUUGUUUUAGUUUUAUGAGGGAAUAAUUGUUCCAACUUCUAUAUAACUCAGGAAUUUACUCUCAAACAACACUGUCAAUUAGUUACUUAUCUCUCUGGAAAUGAUCUGGGAACAUGGAGAGGAAAGGGAGGAAGGGGCAAAAUCUGACCACUUAAAUCUAAGCAUAUUAGAUCAUUUUAUGCUAGAAAGUCCUGAAUGAUGUGACUUUCGUUCUUGUAAAACACCUCUUUCCAUAGAUUCAUGGCCCAAACAGUAUAUAAAGAGUGGGGAAGGAACUGCAUUUGCAAAUAGUUCAAAUCAUUGCUCCAUCUUAACUACGCAGUUCACAAAGUGUGAAGAAAUGUGAUCAUCUCAAAAAAGAUAAUGGGGAAAAAAUAUGUUUUGUUCUGUGACUUUAAAGUCUUGCAAUAUUUUACAUAAAUGAUAAUGGGUGCUUUAAUAAGAACUCUUGAUACUUUUGUUAUUGUAUUCAAUAUAUGCAUAUAAUACAACAGGAUGAUAUUGUUUUGGAUUUGGAAAUGU
rnacentral:lncRNA from 1 species